rnacentral:tRNA from 2 species
GGCCCCAUCGUCUAGUGGACUAGGACACCACCCUCUCAAGGUGGCGGCACGGGUUCGAAUCCCGUUGGGGCUGC